rnacentral:rRNA from 1 species
GAUGAACGCUGGCGGCGUGCCUAAUACAUGCAAGUCGAGCGAACGGACGAGAAGCUUGCUUCUCUGAUGUUAGCGGCGGACGGGUGAGUAACACGUGGAUAACCUACCUAUAAGACUGGGAUAACUUCGGGAAACCGGAGCUAAUACCGGAUGAUAUUUUGAACCACAUGGUUCAAAAGUGAAAGACGGUCUUGCUGUCACUUAUAGAUGGAUCCGCGCUGCAUUAGCUAGUUGGUAAGGUAACGGCUUACCAAGGCAACGAUGCAUAGCCGACCUGAGAGGGGGAUCGGCCACCCGGGAACUGGGACACGGACCAGACUCCUACGGGAGGCAGCAGUAGGGAAUCUUCCGCAAUGGGCGAAAGCCUGACGGAGCAACGCCGCGUGAGUGAUGAAGGUCCUCGGAUCGUAAAACUCUGUUAUUAGGGAAGAACAUAUGUGUAAGUAACUGUGCACAUCUUGACGGUACCUAAUCAGAAAGCCACGGCUAACUACGUG